CAUAAGCCAUUACCUGAGAUGAUUUUCACAGCCCUUGCGUUUGAUAGAAGUGGAUAUACAUGUAUAGAUGCUUAGCCAAUCAGACACUAGGCUUGCGAAUAUGGAAUCCGGAUGCUCACAAGAUUUAAGACAAGAGCUGUAUGAAAAAAAACUGCAAUUGUGCAAGGAAAGUUUGAAGUGUCUGUUGGAAUGAUCAACAUCGAACUUGCUGAGCAUUCGUACUAAAAGUGAAUCCGUUCGUGACGCCAAUUAUCUGUCAACCCUCUAUUGCAAAUUUCAUGGGAUAUCUGUGAGGAAGUGAUUCUAUCAACAUGUCAGAAGUUUUGGAUCUUCCACAAUUGGGAUCUUUGGCACAUACAUUGGGGGAAAAUAGCAACUGUUGAUUUUAUGGGAUCUUUGUAUCAAUGUAGUUAUGUGGUACAUAUAUUUUUGCAUUUACUACAUGUGUUUGUCACUGUAGUCACUAACUUUGUACAGUAAAUUUACAUGGGCCACUGGCAGUUUAUUGUAAAUGUUUAUCCUGCUGAGGUUGCAAUGACCUCUCCCAAUCCUUGGCCUAUGUCAUUUAAUGAAUCUUACCUCUUAUUUUUAACACAAAAUGCAGACUUUACUUUACUACAUACAUGUACCGGUAUAUCAUACCUUGAUUAUCAUGAAUUUAACCAAAGCGAUCCUCCAGUAAUCAUAUUUUUUUUGGGAUAUUUUUGUUAAUAACCUUUGAUAUAAAAUACUUUGAAGUUUCAGUGAGAAUACAUACAUUUAAAAAGUGUGCUUAUAUUGUACG